GGUGGGGUUCCCGAGUGGCUAAAGGGAGCAGACUGUAAAUCUGCCGGCGGACGCCUACGGAGGUUCGAAUCCUUCCCCCACCACCA
rnacentral:tRNA from 1 species